rnacentral:misc_RNA from 1 species
AAAUGCGAUAAGUAAUGUGAAUUGCAGAAUUCAGUGAAUCAUCGAAUCUUUGAACGCACAUUGCGCCCGCCAGUAUUCUGGCGGGCAUGCCUGUUUGAGCGUCAUUUCAACCAUCAAGCCCCCGGCUUGUGUUGGGGACCUGCGGCUGCCCGCAGGCCCUGAAAACCAGUGGCGGGCUCGCUGUCACACCGAGCGUAGUAGCAUACAUCUCGCUCAGGGCGUGCUGCGGGUUCCGGCCGUUAAAAGCCUUUUUUACCCAAGGUUGACCUCGGAUCAGGUAGGAAGACCCGCUGAACUUAAGC